ACAGAGGCGAUGAUGGAACAACACUGUGAAGAGGUGGGUGUGCAUGUGUGCGUGUGUGCACACAUGCAUGUGUCAGACAGGCAUCCAUCCUAUCCAGGAGAUAGGAAACCAAGAAUGCAAAGACAACUCAGCAGAUCUGCUGGCAUGGAGGCGAGGCUGCAUGGAAGGAUCUGGAUUGGAUAGGAGUGUCCCAUUCAGGACAUGUGUCACUCAAAACCACACAACUCAGACUUGGGGAAUAUUCUAUGCCAGUCACAUCUGUUUACAACACGUGUGGCAUCUCCUGUGGACGGAGUUGACAGUCUCAUCCUGAGAUAGGCAGAGCCUGGAGUGGAAGUGAGAGCCUUCAUCUGGGAUGAGACAGCAGGAGGCAGGGAGGGGACACACUGGGGGACAUCACGUGGGGCCAGGCAGUGUCCACCCAGCUCUGGCACAGCCUGAGAGUCAUCACUUCCUCAGUUUUCACACCCUGGGCACCUCCACCUCGCCUGCCUCCCCCGACCCUGACCCCGGCCCCAUGGCCAGACCUUUCUUCCACAUAAUUCCCAGGAGUGCUAUAUGCAUGAACCAAGCUAAGGUGUCAAUCUCGUUUCAGAACCACAGCACGGCUCCCCAUAAAAGUCAUCUUUAUGGACAGAUAUUUCAUGGCGGCAGCUUGAGAAGGCUCACGUUUCUUAGGCAGCUGGUGCAGAGCCAGGAGAGCUAAUCAUGAGAUCUUCCAGUCCCAGGACGCGGGCUGCGGCUGGCGGCUGUGGCCGUCUUAUAUCAAACUCUCAAGAGUCACAGGGCAGCAGCAUUGGCCCCCUCCCAAGUCAUUCCAGAUGGGAUUUAAGGUGGCUUAAUGAGCAUUCAUAAAAUACAGCAAGAGAACAUAAAUUGAAAAGGGUGUGCAAGAAGAAAUCAAA
rnacentral:lncRNA from 1 species